UGACUCUAGGGAGGGUGUGUAAAUGGUGCUGGUGACUAGGGAGGGUGUGUAAAUGGUGCAGGUGACUGUAGGGAGGGUGUGUAAAUGGUGCUGGUGACUGUAGGGAGGGUGUGUAAAUGGUGCAGGUGACUGUAGGGAGAGUGUGUUAAUGGUGCAGGUGACUGUAGGGAGUGUGUGUAAAUGGUGCAGGUGACUGUAGGGAGGGUGUGUAAAUGGUGCAGGUGACUGUAGGGAGGGUGUGUAAAUGGUGCUGGUGACUGUAGGGAGGGUGUGUAAAUGGUGCAGGUGACUGUAGGGAGGGUGUGUAAAUGGUGCUGGUGACUGUAGGGAGGGUGUGUAAAUGGUGCUGGUGACAGUCGGGAGGGUGUGUAAGUGGUACAGGUGACAAGGAAUGUGUGUAAAUGGUGCUGGUGACUGGAGGGAGGGUGUGUAAAUGGUGCAGGUGACAGUCGGGAGAGUGUGUUAAUGGUGCUCGUGACGAGGGACGGUGUGUAAAUAGUGCUGGUGACUGUAGGGAGGGUGUGUAAAUGGUGCAGGUGACUGUAGGGAGGGUGUGUAAA